CGAACGCUGGCGGCGUGCUUAACACAUGCAAGUCGAACGCGAACGGUUUCUUCGGAAACCUAGUAGAGUGGCGCACGGGUGAGUAACGCGUAGAUAACCUGUCCUUAUGUCUGGGAUACCCCACCGAAAGGUGGACUAAUACCGGAUGUUCUUGUUUUCCAUAAGUAUAAUAAGAAAAGGUGGCCUCUGAUUUAAGCUACUGCAUGAGGAGGGGUCUGCGUACCAUUAGCUUGUUGGUGGGGUAAGAGCCUACCAAGGCAUCGAUGGUUAGCGGGUCUGAGAGGAUGAUCCGUCACACUGGCACUGAAACACGGGCCAGACUCCUACGGGAGGCAGCAGUGAGGAAUAUUGCGCAAUGGGGGAAACCCUGACGCAGCGACGCCGCGUGAGUGAGGAAGGCUUUCGGGUCGUAAAGCUCUGUCAAAAGGGAAGAAAUGCAUAUGAGUUAAUACCUCUUAUGUUUGACGGUACCUUUAAAGGAAGCACCGGCUAACUCC
rnacentral:rRNA from 1 species